CAUUUUCAGGAAAUAGCUUUGAUUUCGUUUUUUUAAACUAAAACCGUACUUAAACCGACACAGGUAAAUAAAUUUAGUAAAUUAAGAUGUUGAGUUAACUGUUGUUGAAGGAACUCGGCAAAAUGACUCCGUAACUUCGGGAUAAGGAGUGGCUUUUUUUGGGCAACCUUUUUAAGCUCACAGAAAAUCGGGAACAGCGACUGUUUAAUAAAAACACAGGUUUCUGCUAAUUUGUAAAAAGAUGUAUAGAAACUGACGCCUGCCCAGUGCUAAAAAACUAACGAAAAAAGUUUUGGCUUUAAUCCUAACUUUUAGUAAACGGCGGCUGUAACUCUGACGGUCCAAAGGUAGCGAAAUUCCUUGUCGGGUAAGUUCCGACCUGCACGAAUGGUGCAACGAUCUGGACACUGUCUCAGCCAUGAGCUCGGUGAAAUUGUAGUAUCGGUGAAGAUGCCGGUUACCCGCAGUGGGACGAAAAGACCCCGUGCACCUUUACUAUAGCUUCGUAUUGACCUUGGUCAAGCAAUGUGUAGGAUAGCUGGGAGACUUUGAAGCUGCAUCGCCAGGUGUGGUGGAGUCAUUGUUGAAAUACCAGCCUUUGCUUGUCCGGGGCCUAACUCUCUUCUGAGAGAACAGUGCGUGGUGGGUAGUUUGACUGGGGUGGUCGCCUCCAAAAGAGUAACGGAGGCUUCUAAAGGUACCCUCAGCACGCUUGGUAACCGUGCGUAGAGUGCAAUGGCAUAAGGGUGCUUGACUGAGAGACAUACAGGUCGAUCAGGUUGGAAACAAGAGCAUAGUGAUCCGGUGGUUCCGCAUGGAAGGGCCAUCGCUCAAAGGAUAAAAGGUACUCCGGGAUAACAGGCUGAUCUCCCCCAAGAG
rnacentral:rRNA from 1 species